CUACGGGCUGCUCCAGUGGGGAAUAUUGGACAAUGGGGGAAACCCUGAUCCAGCAAUGCCGCGUGUGUGAAGAAGGCCUGCGGGUUGUAAAGCACUUUCGGUUGGGAGGACUGCUUCUAGCACUAAUAUUGUUGGAAGUUGACGUUACCUUCAGAAGAAGCACCGGCUAACUCCGUGCCAGCAGCCGCGGUAAUACGAGAGGGUGCAAGCGUUAAUCGGAAUUACUGGGCGUAAAGCGCGCGUAGGCGGCUAGAUCAGUCGGGUGUGAAAGCCCCGGGCUUAACCUGGGAACUGCAUCCGUACUGUCUAGCUUGAGUACAGGAGAGGGGAGUGGAAUUCCACAUGUAGCGGUGAAAUGCGUAGAUAUGUGGAGGAACACCAAUGGCGAAGGCAGCUCUCUGGCCUGAUACUGACGCUGAGGUGCGAAAGCGUGGGGAGCAAACAGGAUUAGAUACCCGCGUAGUC
rnacentral:rRNA from 1 species